rnacentral:rRNA from 1 species
GAUGAACGCUAGCGGCAGGCUUAACACAUGCAAGUCGAGGGGCAGCAUGACACUUCAGUGUUGAUGGCGACCGGCGCACGGGUGCGUAACGCGUAUGCAACCUACCUUUAACUGGGGCAUAGCUCGAGGAAACUCGAAUUAAUUCCCCAUAGUACAUUAUAAUAUCUCAUGAUAUAAAUGUUAAAGAUUUAUCGGUUAAAGAUGGGCAUGCGUCUGAUUAGUUUGUUGGUAAGGUAACGGCUUACCAAGACUACGAUCAGUAGGGGGUCUGAGAGGAUGAUCCCCCACACUGGUACUGAGACACGGACCAGACAUCUACGGAUGGCAGCAGUAAGGAAUAUUGGGCAAUGGGCGCAAGCCUGACCCAGCCAUGCCGCGUGCAGGAUGACGACCCUAUGGGUUGUAAACUGCUUUUAUAUAGGAAGAAAAUACUCUUGCGAGAGGAUCUGACGGUACUAUAUGAAUAAGGACCGGCUAACUCCGUGCCAGCCGCCGCAGUAACAC